AAUAAAAAGAAAAAUUCUUUAAAACAACAAGAGAAGAAACCCUGGAAAACAUAAUUGAUUUUUUUUAUCAAGGAAUCCGUUUUUGGAGGAUGUGGACUUUUUUCUUCAACAGAUUUUUACAGAUUUUAAUGGCUUCGAAAAGAGAUUUUUCAAGUCGUUACUACAUGGCCUAAGCUUACUCUCCGAAAUAAUACCAUGCAUGUAUUUCUCAGAGUAUUGUUACAACAAAGGUUCGACUAAAGGCAACCCUCCUGCACCAUUUUAACACCACACAUUUCUGCGAUUCCGAACUACCAAACUUCUAAUCGAUAAGUGACAGCCACGUCUAAAAAAUUGGUCAACGUUUCAUUUACUUUCCGUCAAAAGAUUCACAUUUCUCGACCGUCCUCCUCUUCAUUUGUGUUUAGGGUCCCAUGGAAAUUACAAAAUCUAAACUGAACUCGUAUGCUUCAAGGGACACACAACGCAACACAAUUCGAGGAUUUUAUUUGCCGCUGUAUAGGAAUAUUUAAUGCCUAUUAGAUCUUCUAACAAACAGACAUCUAAACUUAAAAAAGGGCUUCCGAAAAAUGGAGAUGGUUGGACAUGUGCUGCGGAAAUUAUCGAAUAAUAUUGCCACCCAAGCCUUUGAUUAAAACCCCCAAGGGUCACGAUGUAGGAGGCGACACAAAGACUUUUGACCAAAUAUCCAAGCCAAGUCAGUCGACAACAACCCCAUGGUGGUAUCAUGGCAUUAUUACCGAAGGUAGA
rnacentral:sRNA from 1 species